CAGGCUUAACACAUGCAAGUCGAGGGGCAGCAUGGUCUUAGCUUGCUAAGACUGAUGGCGACCGGCGCACGGGUGAGUAACACGUAUCCAACCUGCCGUCUACUCUUGGACAGCCUUCUGAAAGGAAGAUUAAUACAAGAUGGCAUCAUGAGUCCGCAUGUUCACAUGAUUAAAGGUAUUCCGGUAGACGAUGGGGAUGCGUUCCAUUAGAUAGUAGGCGGGGUAACGGCCCACCUAGUCUUCGAUGGAUAGGGGUUCUGAGAGGAAGGUCCCCCACAUUGGAACUGAGACACGGUCCAAACUCCUACGGGAGGCAGCAGUGAGGAAUAUUGGUCAAUGGGCGAGAGCCUGAACCAGCCAAGUAGCGUGAAGGAUGACUGCCCUAUGGGUUGUAAACUUCUUUUAUAAAGGAAUAAAGUCGGGUAUGGAUACCCGUUUGCAUGUACUUUAUGAAUAAGGAUCGGCUAACUCCGUGCCAGCAGCCGCGGUAAUACGGAGGAUCCGAGCGUUAUCCGGAUUUAUUGGGUUUAAAGGGAGCGUAGAUGGAUGUUUAAGUCAGUUGUGAAAGUUUGCGGCUCAACCGUAAAAUUGCAGUUGAUACUGGAUAUCUUGAGUGCAGUUGAGGCAGGCGGAAUUCGUGGUGUAGCGGUGAAAUGCUUAGAUAUCACGAAGAACUCCGAUUGCGAAGGCAGCCUGCUAAGCUGCAACUGACAUUGAGGCUCGAAAGUGUGGGUAUCAAACAGGAUUAGAUACCCUGGUAGUCCACACGGUAAACGAUGAAUACUCGCUGUUUGCGAUAUACUGCAAGCGGCCAAGCGAAAGCGUUAAGUAUUCCACCUGGGGAGUACGCCGGCAACGGUGAAACUCAAAGGAAUUGACGGGGGCCCGCACAAGCGGAGGAACAUGUGGUUUAAUUCGAUGAUACGCGAGGAACCUUACCCGGGCUUAAAUUGCAGAUGAAUUACGGUGAAAGCCGUAAGCCGCAAGGCAUCUGUGAAGGUGCUGCAUGGUUGUCGCCAGCUCGUGCCGUGAGGUGUCGGCUUAAGUGCCAUAACGAGCGCAACCCUUGUUGUCAGUUACUAACAGGUUCCGCUGAGGACUCUGACAAGACUGCCAUCGUAAGAUGUGAGGAAGGUGGGGAUGACGUCAAAUCAGCACGGCCCUUACGUCCGGGGCUACACACGUGUUACAAUGGGGGGUACAGAGGGCCGCUACCACGCGAGUGGAUGCCAAUCCCCAAAACCUCUCCCAGUUCGGACUGGAGUCUGCAACCCGACUCCACGAAGCUGGAUUCGCUAGUAAUCGCGCAUCAGCCACGGCGCGGUGAAUACGUUCCCGGGCCUUGUACACACCGCCCGUCAAGCCAUGGGAGCCGGGGGUACCUGAAGUGCGUAACCGCGAGGAGCGCCCUAGGGUAAAACUGGUGACUGGGGCUAAGU
rnacentral:rRNA from 1 species